rnacentral:rRNA from 1 species
AUACGGAGGAUCCGAGCGUUAUCCGGAUUUAUUGGGUUUAAAGGGUGCGCAGGCGGCCAUUUAAGUCAGCGGUUAAAUCGUGGGGCUCAACCCCAUUCUGCCGUUGAUACUGGGUGGCUUGAUUGCGGUCGAGGUUGGCGGAAUUCGUUGUGUAGCGGUGAAAUGCAUAGAUAUGACGAAGAACACCGAUUGCGUAGGCAGCUGACCAGAUCGCAAAUGACGCUCAUGCACGAAAGUGCUGGGAUCGAACAGGAUUAGAUACCCUGGUAGUCCGCACAGUAAACGAUGAAUACUUGUUUUCGGCGAUAUAAUGUCGGAGGCAAAGCGAAAGCGAUAAGUAUUCCACCUGGGGAGUACGCCGGCAACGGUGAAACUCAAACGAAUUGACGGGG